rnacentral:rRNA from 1 species
AUGAUCCCCGCGUACGAGGGCGGGCCGCUGGCCCAGGCCGUGUACCGCAGCAUGAACUCCACGGAGACGUCGGAGAGGAGGGCGACGGCCGCGAUGAGGACGAGCGCCGGGACGACCCCGAGGACGCGCAUUGCCGCCGGGAUCGACAUGAUGCCGGCGCCGAUGAUGCUAGUGGACAGGUUGAACACCGCGCCGGAGACCGACGCCCCGCCGCCGUGCCCGCCCGAGAACUCCGGGAGCAGCGGCUCGUCCACGCCGGCGGCGCCUGCUCCCUUGCCCAUGCUCGCCGGCAGCCUCGUGUUCGAAGUGCUCUGGGGCGUGUGGACGGCGUUCGUCGUGAGUACUCAAACUGGCAGAAGACUAUGUAGGUAUAUCUAA